rnacentral:rRNA from 1 species
AUUGAACGCUGGCGGCAGGCCUAACACAUGCAAGUCGAGCGGCAGCGGAAAGAAGCUUGCUUCUUUGCCGGCGAGCGGCGGACGGGUGAGUAAUGUCUGGGGAUCUGCCCGAUGGAGGGGGAUAACUACUGGAAACGGUAGCUAAUACCGUAUAACGUCGCAAGACCAAAGUGGGGGACCUUCGGGCCUCACACCAUCGGAUGAACCCAGAUGGGAUUAGCUAGUAGGUGGGGUAAUGGCUCACCUAGGCGACGAUCCCUAGCUGGUCUGAGAGGAUGACCAGCCACACUGGAACUGAGACACGGUCCAGACUCCUACGGGAGGCAGCAGUGGGGAAUAUUGCACAAUGGGGGAAACCCUGAUGCAGCCAUGCCGCGUGUGUGAAGAAGGCCUUCGGGUUGUAAAGCACUUUCAGCGGGGAGGAAGGCGAUGGCGUUAAUAGCGCUAUCGAUUGACGUUACCCGCAGAAGAAGCACCGGCUAACUCCGUGCCAGCAGCCGCGGUAAUACGGAGGGUGCGAGCGUUAAUCGGAAUUACUGGGCGUAAAGCGUACGCAGGCGGUCUGUUAAGUCAGAUGUGAAAUCCCCGGGCUCAACCUGGGAACUGCAUUUGAAACUGGCAGGCUAGAGUCUCGUAGAGGGGGGUAGAAUUCCAGGUGUAGCGGUGAAAUGCGUAGAGAUCUGGAGGAAUACCGGUGGCGAAGGCGGCCCCCUGGACGAAGACUGACGCUCAGGUACGAAAGCGUGGGGAGCAAACAGGAUUAGAUACCCUGGUAGUCCACGCUGUAAACGAUGUCGAUUUGAAGGUUGUGGCCUUGAGCCGUGGCUUUCGGAGCUAACGCGUUAAAUCGACCGCCUGGGGAGUACGGCCGCAAGGUUAAAACUCAAAUGAAUUGACGGGGGCCCGCACAAGCGGUGGAGCAUGUGGUUUAAUUCGAUGCAACGCGAAGAACCUUACCUACUCUUGACAUCCAGAGAACUUGGCAGAGAUGCUUUGGUGCCUUCGGGAGCUCUGAGACAGGUGCUGCAUGGCUGUCGUCAGCUCGUGUUGUGAAAUGUUGGGUUAAGUCCCGCAACGAGCGCAACCCUUAUCCUUUGUUGCCAGCGAUUCGGUCGGGAACUCAAAGGAGACUGCCGGUGAUAAACCGGAGGAAGGUGGGGAUGACGUCAAGUCAUCAUGGCCCUUACGAGUAGGGCUACACACGUGCUACAAUGGCGCAUACAAAGAGAAGCGAUCUCGCGAGAGUCAGCGGACCUCAUAAAGUGCGUCGUAGUCCGGAUUGGAGUCUGCAACUCGACUCCAUGAAGUCGGAAUCGCUAGUAAUCGUGGAUCAGAAUGCCACGGUGAAUACGUUCCCGGGCCUUGUACACACCGCCCGUCACACCAUGGGAGUGGGUUGCAAAAGAAGUAGGUAGCUUAACCUUCGGGAGGGCGCUUACCACUUUGUGAUUCAUGACUGGGGUG